GCUUGGGUUUAGAUUGAUGGCAGCAGCCCCAUCUCCCUGUGUAACUCAUAGUGCCAGAGCAAACUGUGGCCUUGAACCAUUGCCCGGCCUCUGCCUGCAGGCUACAGGCACUGAGGCAGAUUGCACAGUG